CCACCCCAUCUCCCUUUUCCGUGCAUGAGUGUUAUGGACGUGCGCAAGGGGGUCGGUAUUCUUUCUUAAGUGGGUUUCCUAAUUAGUUAAGAGUCCUAACUACUUUGGAUUAGUUGUCCUAAAUAAGUUAGGACAUUGAAUCAGAUUGUGGUACCUCACCAAUUUAAACGAUGGAUCAUAACAACCGGUGAUAGCUGAUUUCUUGUGUGCGACAAAACAAUAAUCACCAGUAGAGAGCUUUGUGCAACAAUAAAAGGAAGCCGGUCCCUUCUUUCUGGCAUGUAGGAAUGUGUAGGAUUUCUUGGCACCUUGAUCGAAGGCAUGAGGAUCCAAUCUCAGGCAUCCC
rnacentral:lncRNA from 1 species